rnacentral:rRNA from 1 species
UACGUAGGGGGGCUAGCGUUGUCCGGAUUUAUUGGGCGUAAAGAGCGUGUAGGCGGCCAGGUAGGUCUGCUGUGAAAACUCGAGGCUCAACCUCGAGACGCCGAUGGAAACCGUCUGGCUAGAGUCCGGAAGAGGAGAGUGGAAUUCCUGGUGUAGCGGUGAAAUGCGCAGAUAUCAGGAGGAACACCAAUGGCGAAGGCAGCACUCUGGGACGUGACUGACGCUGAGACGCGAAAGCGUGGGGAGCGAACAGG